GCUCGGUAAGUUCAUAUGGCUGAACGCCUGCCUUGUAAGCAGGAUGUACGCGGUUCGAUUCCGUGACUGAGCACCA
rnacentral:tRNA from 1 species